rnacentral:rRNA from 1 species
UACGGAGGGGGCUAGCGUUGUUCGGAAUUACUGGGCGUAAAGCGCACGUAGGCGGCUUUGUAAGUUAGAGGUGAAAGCCCAGGGCUCAACCUUGGAAUUGCCUUCAAAACUGACGAUCUAGAGUAUGGAAGAGGUAAGUGGAACUCCGAGUGUAGAGGUGAAAUUCGUAGAUAUUCGGAAGAACACCAGUGGCGAAGGCGACUUACUAGUCCAUGACUGACGCUGAGGCUCGAAAGCGUGGGGAGCAAACAGG